rnacentral:misc_RNA from 1 species
GAUGAAGAACGCAGCGAAAUGCGAUAAGUAAUGUGAAUUGCAGAAUUCAGUGAAUCAUCGAGUCUUUGAACGCACAUUGCGCCCCCUGGUAUUCCGGGGGGCAUGCCUGUCCGAGCGUCAUUGCUGCCCUCAAGCACGGCUUGUGUGUUGGGCCCCGCCCCCCGGCUCCCGGGGGGCGGGCCCGAAAGGCAGCGGCGGCACCGCGUCCGGUCCUCGAGCGUAUGGGGCUUCGUCACCCGCUCCGUAGGCCCGGCCGGCGCCCGCCGGCGACCCCCCUCAAUCUUUUCAGGUUGACCUCGGAUCAGGUAGGGAUACCCGCUGAACUUAAGCAUAUAAUAAGCGGAGGA